AUUCAGAGACGGAUCCACCAUGGGGUCAAUGGGGUCAGACGACCCCACGGCAGAUCUGGAGUUUAGUGGUAGGGACUGGUUUUUGCCCUUGGCAGCCAUGGAAGUGACCCCAUGGAGAAGAAGAAGAAGCUUCGGUGGUGGCAGCUGGAGCAAGAAGAAAGAGAGAGAGGGAAGAGAGAUGGAGCAGACGGAGGAGAGAGAAGAAAGAAACGAAGAAGAGAGGAAGAAGGAAAAAGAAUAAAAAAAAGAGAGGGGAAAAAGGAAGAAGGAAAAAGAAUAAAGAAAGAGGGAGACGGGAGGAGGGAGGAGGGAGAGCGAGAAAGAGGAAAAAAUAAUAAAAAAGAGAGGGAGUGAUUAAAAAGA
rnacentral:lncRNA from 1 species